rnacentral:lncRNA from 1 species
ACAAUGUAUUUUGGUAGGCCAUGGCUAUGAAUGAAAAUGCUUGAAAUGAUGAGUUUGUUAUGUUUGGAUGUAUGGUUGGUUUAUGUUGCAUAUUCUAUGAAGUGUUAGAGCUGAUUUUGGAAAUGGUUUUUCUUGGUUUUUAUAGGUAGUUUCAUGGAAGAGGAAAAAGCUUGGCCUUGAAGGAAGAUGAAGCAAGGGGUGUAUGACAGUAA